AUCCAGCUGACGAGUCCCAAAUGGGAUGAAACGCGUGUCAGACUGGAU
rfam:Schistosoma rodhaini strain Burundi genome assembly, scaffold: SROB_scaffold0000149